UGCUUGGGUAGCACUAUAUAAAUGGAGGAAGGAGCCCAUUUGAAGAGGCAAAACGAAAUGGAUGGCUAUGUUCCCUCCACGACUCCAAUAAUCUACACUUCAUCUCUGCUAUUUUCUCCAAGUCGCGGUGUCGUAGUUGCUUUAGAAGUACUCAAUCCCACUUUGAGUAAUUAGUAGAAUGUAAAAGUAGACCCACCGCAGAGCAAUUAGAUUGAUAUUACACAUACUGGAGCAAGUAGAAUUGGAAGAAGGAUUUUGAGUUAUUAGUGUGUUUUGGUAUUGAAGAAAAUGCAGAAUGACGAGGUAGUGGUAAACGUACACCCAUGAAAGGUAUAUCUUUCUCAGAAACACUAUCAGCCUUUGCAUUUGCAUACAUUGGCGUUGGCUGUAACGCAUACAUCAAGCCCACUCAUGCUUCCACAAUUAUGGCUAAGAAGACCAAGAGUUCCGACACACCCUCUUCUAAAGAUACUGAGACACCUCCUCCGAGGAUUACAUCAAACUUGAAGCAGAAUUUGCAGUUCCUAAGAUUAUGGAAGGAGUUCCAAAAGAGAAAAUCCAGUACUCCAAAGCCUGCUACUAGUUAUCGUAAGAAGAAGGUGGAGAAGGAAGACCUGCCAGAAGAUGAUGAGAUCUAUCGCGAUCCUACUUUGGCACUAUACUAUACAAAUCAGGUAUUGGAUAUUGCAGUUCCCGUCUUGCUUGUUGAUGGAUAUAAUGUGUGUGGAUAUUGGCCAAAGUUGAAGAAGCAUUUUAUGAAUGGAAGUCUUGACAUUGCUCGUCAAAAGCUCAUUGAUGAACUUGUAUCAUUCAGUUUGCUAAGAGAGGUGAAAGUGGUGGUUGUAUUCGAUGCCAUGAUGUCUGGACUACCUACACACAAGGAAAACUUUGAGGGCAUUGAUGUAGUAUACUCAAGUGAAACAUGUGCUGAUGCAUGGAUUGAGAAGGAGGUGGUCGCAUUAAGGGAGGAUGGGUGUCCAAAAGUCUGGGUUGUCACAUCUGAUCAUAAUCAGCAGCAUGCAGCCUAUGGAGCAGGGGCUUUUGUUUGGAGCUGCAAGGCAUUAAUCUCUGAGAUCAAAGCUUCACAUAAGGAGGUUGAGAGAAUGCUGCGGGAACAUAGUUAUCAUUUGCAUUGUGGACAUUUCAAUUUCAUCAACUAUAUAUAACUAUCACACCUAAGGGUGUGACCUAGCGGUUAAUGAGUGGGUUAAGAACCAUGGGGUCUCACGUUCAAAUCCCAACAGACAAAAAUCCAAGGGCGCGCAAGCUGGCCCGGACACAACGGUUAUUUGAAAAAAACUAUGUAUAACUACCCAUUCAGGAUACUCCUUUCCUUUCCAGCUGUCGAAUCAAUUGGUGAAACUAGUAAUGGGAGGCUAUAGUAUGACUAAUAUCUACUUCUAUGCAAGGUAAAUUGUUAAAGCACAACCUCGAUGCAGAAGUUGUGGAUGCUCUCAAGGACCUCAGGGACCAGCUUUCUCAAAAUGAGAUGCGAAGGUGAUAUAGUGUCACGAGAGGCUAUAUCAGAGACGAAAGAGAAUUUUAAGUCAAUGGAUGCCUAGUUAUCACUGCACUAACAACUUUGUGACGGUACUUUUGGGAUCACUAUAAAUACAUGCAUCUUGAAAAAAGUUCCAACCAUGUGUGCAUCUUGGGCUGAUGCUACCUUCAACAUACAUUUGCCUCUCGGGUUAUACCUUCUACCUUGUGACGACAUCAUGGAGAUGCAUACAUUUAAUUAUCUUUCCCAGUUCUUGCUGUCCUUUCAACCCUAAUUCAACAAUAGUUUCAGAAAAGCUGGAUGUUGUAUUUACAAGUUGUGUGUCGAUUCUACAUUGUACAGCAGUCUGCUUAUAGGGAAUGAGUGAUAUACAAGUUGGAUCAGUUAAUUGUUCUAGCUUUGAUAAUAUUGCAAAUAUAACCUCUUAUGAUGUUGAGUGCA